rnacentral:rRNA from 1 species
GGGUUGUGAGGUUAAGCGACUAAGCGUACACGGUGGAUGCCCUGGCAGUCAGAGGCGAUGAAGGACGUGCUAAUCUGCGAUAAGCGCCGGUAAGGUGAUAUGAACCGUUAUAACCGGCGAUUUCCGAAUGGGGAAACCCAGUGUGAUUCGUCACACUAUCAUUAACUGAAUCCAUAGGUUAAUGAGGCGAACCGGGGGAACUGAAACAUCUAAGUACCCCGAGGAAAAGAAAUCAACCGAGAUUCCCCCAGUAGCGGCGAGCGAACGGGGAGGAGCCCAGAGCCUGAAUCAGCAUGUGUGUUAGUGGAAGCGUCUGGAAAGGCGCGCGAUACAGGGUGACAGCCCCGUACACAAAAGCGCAUGUGCUGUGAGCUCGAUGAGUAGGGCGGGACACGUGGUAUCCUGUCUGAAUAUGGGGGGACCAUCCUCCAAGGCUAAAUACUCCUGACUGACCGAUAGUGAACCAGUACCGUGAGGGAAAGGCGAAAAGAACCCCGGCGAGGGGAGUGAAAAAGAACCUGAAACCGUGUACGUACAAGCAGUGGGAGCCCCACCACUAAGCCAGUGGUGAACUCCACAUCCGCAUCCUUUGCUGAGGAUACGGUUAACGGAGCGAAAGCGACGUUCAACCGCAAAACAAGCAGAGGGGGCUUAGUGGUGGGGUGACUGCGUACCUUUUGUAUAAUGGGUCAGCGACUUAUAUUCUGUAGCAAGGUUAACCGAAUAGGGGAGCCGGAGGGAAACCGAGUCUUAAUUGGGCGUUAAGUUGCAGGGUAUAGACCCGAAACCCGGUGAUCUAGCCAUGGGCAGGUUGAAGGUUGGGUAACACUAACUGGAGGACCGAACCGACUAAUGUUGAAAAAUUAGCGGAUGACCUGUGGCUGGGGGUGAAAGGCCAAUCAAACCGGGAGAUAGCUGGUUCUCCCCGAAAGCUAUUUAGGUAGCGCCUCGUGAAUUCAUCUCCGGGGGUAGAGCACUGUUUCGGCUAGGGGGCCAUCCCGGCUUACCAACCCGAUGCAAACUGCGAAUACCGGAGAAUGUUAUCACGGGAGACACACGGCGGGUGCUAACGUCCGUCGUGAAGAGGGAAACAACCCAGACCGCCAGCUAAGGUCCCAAAGUCAUGGUUAAGUGGGAAACGAUGUGGGAAGGCCCAGACAGCCAGGAUGUUGGCUUAGAAGCAGCCAUCAUUUAAAGAAAGCGUAAUAGCUCACUGGUCGAGUCGGCCUGCGCGGAAGAUGUAACGGGGCUAAACCAUGCACCGAAGCUGCGGCAGCGAACGUAUCACCCAAGACAACUUUACGGAGUUGACGAUUGACGGAGCGAAGCGACGUCAAAGCGUUCAUUAAAGUCGAGUUGGCUUAGGGAUACGUUCGUUGGGUAGGGGAGCGUUCUGUAAGCCUGUGAAGGUGUGUCGUGAGGCAUGCUGGAGGUAUCAGAAGUGCGAAUGCUGACAUAAGUAACGAUAAAGCGGGUGAAAAGCCCGCUCGCCGGAAGACCAAGGGUUCCUGUCCAACGUUAAUCGGGGCAGGGUGAGUCGACCCCUAAGGCGAGGCCG